GAAUCUUGCGCAAUGGGCGAAAGCGUGACGCAGCCAUGCCGCGCGAAUGAUGAAGGUCUUAGGAUUGUAAAAUUCUUGCACGGGGGACGAUAAUGACGGUACCCGGAGAAGAAGCCCCGGCUAACUUCGUGCCAGCAGCCGCGGCAAUACGAGGGGGGCUAGCGUUGCUCGGAAUUCCUGGGCGUAAAGGGCGCGUAGGCGGAUCGUUAAGUCAGAGGUGAAAUCCCAGGGCUCAACCCUGGAACUUCCUUUGAUACUGGCGAUCUUGAGUAUGAGAGAGGUAUGUGGAACUCCGAGUGUAGAGGUGAAAUUCGUAGAUAUUCGGAAGAACACCAGUGGCGAAGGCGACAUACUGGCUCAUUACUGACGCUGAGGCGCGAAAGCGUGGGGAGCAAACA
rnacentral:rRNA from 1 species